CGGAGUGGACGAACCUCUGGUGUAUCGGUUGUCACGCCAGUGGCAUUGCCGAGUAGCUAUGUUCGGAAGAGAUAACCGCUGAAAGCAUCUAAGCGGGAAACUCGCCUUAAGAUGAGACUUCCCAGAGACUUGAUCUCUUUAAAGGGUCGUUCGAGACCAGGACGUUGAUAGGCUGGGUGUGGAAGUGCAGUAAUGCAUUAAGCUAACCAGUACUAAUUGCCCGUAAGGCUUGUCCCUAUAACUUUGGUCAGUUAUA
rnacentral:rRNA from 1 species